CAGAGGUGUAAGAGUCUAAACCCAUAUACUUUUAUAGGGACAUCCACUUUUGAGAAAGCUAAGUACUGGUUGGCAGAGACACAGAAGGCCUUCGUAACACUUGGGGUAAUUCCUGAAUAGAUGGUUGUCCUUGCCACGUAUAUGCCCAUUGGUGAGGCAAGACAUUGGUGGCAACUCAAGCAAGCUACCUUGUACACUCCGGUCACUUAGGAACAACUUUUAGCAACCUUUAAUGUUGAGUACCUUUCAAAACAUCUCUUACAUAUGAAAUAAAUAGAGUUUACAAAAUUAGUCAAGGGAGAAUUUUUAGUGACAGAGUAUGCUCAAAAGUUCCUUGUGUUAGGCCGAUAUCCCCAAAUAGU
rnacentral:lncRNA from 1 species